rnacentral:rRNA from 1 species
AUUGAACGCUAGCGGGAUGCCUUACACAUGCAAGUCGAACGAGUGGCGAACGGGUGAGUAAUGUAUCGGAAACUGCCCGGUGGUGGGGGAUAACUACCGGAAACGGUAGCUAAUACCGCAUACCAUCGGAUGUGCCCAGAUGGGAUUAGCUAGUAGGUGGGGUAAUGGCUCACCUAGGCGACGAUCCCUAGCUGGUCUGAGAGGAUGACCAGCCACACUGGAACUGAGACACGGUCCAGACUCCUACGGGAGGCAGCAGUGGGGAAUAUUGCACAAUGGGCGCAAGCCGGAUACAGCCAUGCCGCGUGUAUGAAGAAGGCCUUCGGAUUGUAAAGUACUUUCAGCGAGGAGGCGUUACUCGCAGAAGAAGCACCGGCUAACUCCGUGCCAGCAGCCGCGGUAAUAC